UGUAUACAAUGAAUACAGGUUGGGACUUAGCACACAUCCCUGUGGUGUGCCAGUGCUGAUUUUUAAGGAAUUAGAUGUUACAUGUCCAAUCCUCGCUGUUUGUGUCCGAUCUAUCAGAAAGUCCUUAAUCCAGUCACAGAUGGCAGAAGAAAGGAGUGCAGGAAUCUCAGCUAAAGCAUCCAUGACAGAGGGCCAUCCAGUCUCUGCUGAUAAACCUCCAAGGACUUAUAUAGGCGCUGGAAAAUCUAGCAACCAUUUCAGACCAGCGAGGUAAGCAAAGGGUGCCAAUCGUACCCAGCUCUGUGAUUCACUGUAACUUCUCUCGCUAAAUAGGUUGGGGAAGUUGUAGCCCUCCAUAUUUCAUUGGACUACAACGCCCAUCAACCCCAGUAAACAUGGCCAAAGGUCAGGGGUGAUUGCAGUUGUGGCAGUGGCAGCAACAGCAGCCCGUAGGGUGGUUCAGGAAGGGCUGAAGCAUGGGGAAUAAAGCACAGUGUAGGCUUAGUGGUACGGCCAAGUCAACACUCCUGCCACUAUGUCUGGCUUCUUGGAAAAUGCCAGCUACAUCAUACUGUUGAGAAAACAGGUACACAACCCUGCCCUGGCUACAACGCCACCUCAAUCACUGCCGAGUUGUAGUCCAACAAUACCUGGACGGCCACAGGAUCCACAUCCAUGCUCUAAAAGACAACAACUUUCCUGACGUGUCCAUUCUGCCAUAUAUUUUCCACACUUUUAAUCAAUGCAAUUAAUUAUAUUUAAUUUUAACACAAACCUGGUGUUCUCCCAAGGGCUCAGAGCAGGAGUGUGUUAAUUACAAAGGCCCUAACAGCAUCAGUUAAAACCCAUCUUGCCUUAUUUCACCCUCUGACGAUUUGAAUUAAAAGAAUUCCAUACCCACCUAAAUCGGGACGCUCCAUUUUUUUAGUCCCAGGCUCUAGUGUAAGCACAAGAGGACAAGGCCCAAAGAUGCUCUAGUGCUCUGGCAUGACUGAGCUGAAUCACAGCAGAAUGCUGGACCGAAAAGGAGUGCCCGGUGCUCUGGUGUGACCCUGCUGAUUUACACCAGAGUGAUCGUCUUUUGGUCCAGAGCAUGGGAUAAAAAAAUGAAACAUUCUGGGAUCCAGACAGAAGGCGGGAUUGGCUUCUGUGAUUCUUUGAUGUUCCACUUAAAAUGCGACAGUUGCUGUAUAAAGUUAGUAAUAAAUGUUGGAAACGUAAAGAAAAAGAGGGAACAUUUUAUCACAUGUGGUGGGAAUGUAAAAAGGUGAAAUGCUUCUGGGAGAUGAUAUAUAAUGAGUUGAAAAAAAUGUUGAAAUAUACAUUUAUAAAGAAACCAGAAGCAUUUUUAUUGGGCAUUGUGGGGAGUGACAUAAAUAGAAAGGAAUGUAAGCUCUUUUUAUAUGCUAUAACAGCAGCAAGAAUAUUAUUGGUCCAAAAAUGGAAGCAAGAAGAGUUACCGACGAUCGAAGAAUGGAGGAUGAAGUUAAUGGACUACACAGAAUUAGAUAAACUAACAGGAAGGAUUCGAAACCGGCGAG